rnacentral:rRNA from 1 species
GAUGAACGCUGGCGGCGUGCCUAAUACAUGCAAGUCGAGCGAACGGACGAGAAGCUUUCUUCUCUUAUUUUCGCGUCGGACGGGUGAGUAACACGUCGAUAACCUACCUAUAUGACUGGGAUAACUUCGUGAAACCGUAGCUAAUUCCCGCUUAUCUUUUGAACCCCAUGGUUCAAAAGUUAAAGACGGUCUUCCUGUCACUUAUCGCUGGAUCCGCGCUGCAUUAGCUAGUUGGUAAGGUAACGGAUUACCAAGGCAACGAUGCAUAGCCGACCUGAGAGGGUGAUCGGCCACACUGGAACUGAGACACGGUCCAGACUCCUACGGGAGGCAGCAGUAGGGAAUAUUGCGCAAUGGGCGAAAGCCUGACGGAGCAACGCCGCGUGAGUGAUGAAGGUCUUCGGAUCGUAAAACUCUGUUAUUAGGGAAGAACAUAUGUGUAAGUAACUGUGCACAUAUUGACGGUACCUAAUCAGAAAGCCACGGCUAACUACGUG